rnacentral:rRNA from 1 species
UACGGGGGAGCAAGCGUUGUUCGGAUUUACUGGGCGUAAAGGGCGCGUAGGCGGCCACCGCAAGUCGGUUGUGAAAUCUCUGGGCUUAACCCAGAAAGGUCAACCGAUACUGCGGGGCUAGAGUGCAGAAGGGGCAACUGGAAUUCUCGGUGUAGCGGUGAAAUGCGUAGAUAUCGAGAGGAACACCUGCGGCGAAGGCGGGUUGCUGGGCUGACACUGACGCUGAGGCGCGAAAGCUAGGGGAGCAAACGGG